rnacentral:rRNA from 1 species
UACGUAGGGUGCAAGCGUUGUCCGGAAUUAUUGGGCGUAAAGAGCUCGUAGGUGGCCUGUCGCGUCGGCUGUGAAAACUCGGGGCUCAACUCCGAGCUUGCAGUCGAUACGGGCAGGCUAGAGUUCGGCAGGGGAGACUGGAAUUCCUGGUGUAGCGGUGAAAUGCGCAGAUAUCAGGAGGAACACCGGCGGCGAAGGCGGGUCUCUGGGCCAUAACUGACGCUGAGGAGCGAAAGCGUGGGGAGCGAACAGG